rnacentral:rRNA from 1 species
UAGGGAAUAUUCCGCAAUGGGCGAAAGCCUGACGGAGCAACGCCGCGUGAGUGAAGAAGAUCUUCGGAUUGUAAAGCUCUGUCAACAGGGACGAUAAUGACGGUACCUGUGGAGGAAGCCACGGCAAACUACGUGCCAGCAGCCGCGGUAAUACGUAGGUGGCAAGCGUUGUCCGGAAUAACUGGGCGUAACGCGCAUGUAGACGGCAUAGCAAGCCAAGGGUGAAAGUGAGGGGCUUAACCUCUAAACUGCGCGUGGAACUGCUGAGCUUGAGUGCAGGAGAGGCUAGUGGAAUUCCCAGUGUAGCAGUGAAAUGCGUAGAUAUUGGGAGGAACACCAGUGGCGAAGGCGACUUGCUGGACUGCAACUGACGUUGAGAUGCGAAAGCUAGGGGAGCAAACG